CACAAUUCGAGUGAAGGACUUGUCAUCUGGUGACAUACUAGGUGAAAUGUCUUCUAUGCCCAAUGGACCAGACACAACUGCAUCUCUAAAGACAGAUAAGAGAAGGAAGUGAGGGAAGAAACAGACAGGAAAGCUAGAAGAAACCGUACUAACAGAAAGCUAAGUGGGAAAUCCUAAAGACCGCAGGACACUUCACCUCAGCCAGCAAAAGACACAGACCACAUAAGAACAGAACCAACAGCGGAAUGCAGCCAUGGCUCUCCCGGUUAACUGUCAGAGGAACUGUUCAGAGGACUCAGAGUCCGGCGUGAUAAAUAUUCCAUUUAUUUACAGGUAAGGCUGAGGAGGAGGCUGGAAAAGUCUGUCUGCCCGACUUGACCUAUAAUCAUGAAGCUCAAUCAUAGUAUCUAACACAUUAGUUUUAGAUUGUAAUCAUUCGAAUUUUUUCUUUUGUUUGUUUCUUUGUAUAGCUCAGACAGAUCUUCAACUCACUAUGUACUCCAAGCUGCUCUCUCCAACUCGUGGUCCUCCUGCCUCAGCCUCUGAUAAGUGUGUACCACCACACCCAGCUAAUCCUUCUAGUUCUCAUGACAACAGGGUGUCACCAAAAAAGCAGGUACUCUUUGAUCCUUAGAGAAGACCCGAAUCCACACCUAUUAACCAAUCAGUGAAAACCAGUUCAUCAACAACAACAAAAAUGGUAUUGCUUUCUCGAGAGGUUAAACAGGAAGAUCUUAAUCUGCUCCAAGAAUAGAUUUGGGGACUUUGUUACUUUGUUUAGACACAGGGUUUCCCUAUGUAGACAGGCUGGCCUCAAAUCAGAGAUCCACUUGCCUCUGCCUACUCACCAAUGUACUGCCCAGUGUUAUGUCAGCUUAAUACGAGCUAGAGUCAUCUGGCAGGAAGGAGCCUCAAUGGAGGAAAUGCCUCCAUACAUCAGAUCUGGCUGUAGGGCAUUUUCUUACUUAGUGAUUGAUGGGGGAGGGGCCCGGCCCAUUGUGGGUGGUAACAUCCCUGCGCUGGUUGGUCCUGGUUCUAUAAGAAAGCAGGCUGAGCAAGCCAUGAGGAACAAGCCAGUAAGCAGCACUCCUCCAUGGCCUCUGCAUCGGGUCCUGCCUCCAGGUUCCUGCCCAGUUUGAGCUCCCGCCUUGGCUGCCCUAAAUGGACCAUGACUCAGGAUAUGUAGGUCAAAUAAAUCCUUUGUCCCCAAGUUGCUUUUGGUCAUGGUGUUUUGUCACAACAACAGGAAUCCCAUUUAAGUCACAAUGAAUAGAUUUUUAACUGAAGGGUUAAAUUAGAAAGCUGGGCAUGGUGGUGUACAGCUAUAAUCCCAGCAUUUGGACUUGGGAGGCAGGAGAUCAGAAGUUCAAGGCCAUUCUCAACUACAUAGCAAGUUUGAGGCCAGCCCCUAAGCUACCUGAAACACUGUUGAAAAAGAAAGGUACAAUAGUAUCCAAAAUAACAAAUGAAGAUUUGAUAUCUAGAACUGGAGAGGUAGCUCAGUGGUUAAGAGCCCUUGCUGCUCUUGCAGAGGGCCCUGGAGUUCCAGUCCCAGCACCCACAUGGCAGAUUCCAACUGUCUAUAACCCCAGUGCCAGGGGAUCUAGCAACCUCUUCUGGCCUCCAUGGGCACCAGGAAUGUACUCUACUCUGUGUACUUACAUAUACGCAGACAAAACAUUCAGACACAUAAAAUAAAAAUAAAAAAAAUGCUUUUAAAAGAAACUUUGUAUCUAGUUUACCAUAAAAAUAGUUUGAACAAAACCCUGUAUUUUGUGACAAUUGUUCAUAAUAUUAUUUCAAGAAAAAUAAGCUUCUUUUUCAAAAAACACUAAGCAAAUAUUUGGUGAGCAGCUUAUGGGUACCAUGUAUUAUAUUAUACAAAUACCUACUGGAAAGAUCAGGACACAUGUAGUUCAUUCAGGAUGACAGAUUCAAAUGCAUUAUUACAGAUUAAUAUAAAUCUAAGAAUUCUUAGACCACUAUUCAAACAACCAGAUAACAUAUGAGAAUCAGGUUGUUUCAUGAUCAUAAUUUCUUCUGUUGUGUACAUGUCUGUCUGUGUAUGUGUGUGUGCACACAUGUAUCUAUGGUUGUUCAUGAAACCAUGAGGUCAACGUGUCUACAAUUACUCUCUCCCUUGAACCUAGAAUUUGCCAACUCGACUAGAAGACUGCCCAUCAAGCCCCAGGAGUCAUCCUGUCUUUGCCUCCCCAGUGCUAGGAUCACAGGGUGCACACUGCUCCAUUGGGCUUCUUUACAUGUGUUCUGGGGGUGGAACCCCAGCCCUCCUCAUGUUUCAACAGUGAGCACUUUACCAAUGGAGCUAUCUCCCCAACCCUCAAGUUAAUCAUUUCCAUCUCCAGACGGGCUCCAAAAUCAUGCUUUAGUAGGAUGUGGAUGAGUUUUAUAAAACAGACUGUUUGCACAUGA